GCAAGUCGAAUGUGAAGCUGCAGCUUGCUGCAGUGGAAAAUGGCGCAAGGGUGAGUAACACGUGAGCAAUCUGCCCCCAAGUUCGGGACAGCCCGUGGAAACGCGGAUUAAUACCGGAUGUGGAUUACCGGCUUCAUGGCCGGUCUUCCAAAGUUUUUCGCUUGGGGAUGAGCUCGCGGCCCAUUAGUUUGUUGGCGGGGUAACGGCCCACCAAGACUACGACGGGUAGGUGGUCUGAGAGGACGAUC
rnacentral:rRNA from 1 species